rnacentral:misc_RNA from 1 species
AUCUCCCUUCCUUUGACUUCAUCUGGUACGAUGUUCUUACUGAUCGAGAUAUUUAAGAAGCUAUAGAACAAGGCCAUGAACUUUGCAAGCACUAGUGCCUCGUAACAUUCUUUCACCGACUCCAAGAAUGUGAAGAAGGUUUCACUGCCCAGUAUAUCCACAACACCAACAAAGGAGACAAUGGCAUACAAAGGAGCCAUGAGGAUGAUAACUACGAUAGCCUUCUGCUCCUUUGGAUUUGUCCAAUGAGAGAGAUGUUGUAAUAGCAGACGCACUGUAAAAACCACUGAAAGGGCGACACAAGUUCCAAGCCCCAGUAGAGUUCGUUGACCAUGAUCCAUUGAUGAUAUUAUAUCCAUCUAAACAACCAAACAGAAGAUCCCAAUAGAGAGAGAGAGGGCGAGAUCUGAUGGGGCGGAAACAGGAGAAAUGGGUAUUUAUUGGUGUUAGCAGCAGCGGUCUGGA